rnacentral:rRNA from 1 species
AGUGAACGCUGGCGGUAGGCCUAACACAUGCAAGUCGAACGACAGCACAGUAAGAGCUUGCUCUUACGGGUGGCGAGUGGCGGACGGGUGAGGAAUACAUCGGAAUCUACUUUUUCGUGGGGGAUAACGUAGGGAAACUUACGCUAAUACCGCAUACGACGUACGGGUGAAAGCAGGGGAUCUUCGGACCUUGCGCGAUUGAAUGAGCCGAUGUCGGAUUAGCUAGUUGGCGGGGUAAAGGCCCACCAAGGCGACGAUCCGUAGCUGGUCUGAGAGGAUGAUCAGCCACACUGGAACUGAGACACGGUCCAGACUCCUACGGGAGGCAGCAGUGGGGAAUAUUGGACAAUGGGCGCAAGCCUGAUCCAGCCAUACCGCGUGGGUGAAGAAGGCCUUCGGGUUGUAAAGCCCUUUUGUUGGGAAAGAAAAGCAGCAGGUUAAUACCCCGCUGUUCUGACGGUACCCAAAGAAUAAGCACCGGCUAACUUCGUG